GGGUUGUGAGGUUAAGCGACUAAGCGUACACGGUGGAUGCCCUGGCAGUCAGAGGCGAUGAAGGGCGUGCUAAUCUGCGAUAAGCGCCGGUAAGGUGAUAUGAACCGUUAUAACCGGCGAUACCCGAAUGGGGAAACCCAGUGUGACUCGUCACACUAUCAUUAACUGAAUCCAUAGGUUAAUGAGGCGAACCGGGGGAACUGAAACAUCUAAGUACCCCGAGGAAAAGAAAUCAACCGAGAUUCCCCCAGUAGCGGCGAGCGAACGGGGAGGAGCCCAGAGCCUGAAUCAGCAUGUGUGUUAGUGGAAGCGUCUGGAAAGGCGCGCGAUACAGGGUGACAGCCCCGUACACAAAAGCGCAUGUGCUGUGAGCUCGAUGAGUAGGGCGGGACACGUGGUAUCCUGUCUGAAUAUGGG
rnacentral:rRNA from 1 species